UAGAACGGGCCAACGAGUUACGUUAAGUAGCAAGGUUAAGCACUUAAGGUGUGGAGCCGUAGCGAAAGCGAGUUUUAACUGAGCGUUCAGUUACUUGACGUAGACCCGAAACCGGGCGACCUACCCAUGAGCAGGAUGAAGCGAAAGUAAAAUGUCGUGGAGGUCCGAACCCACGAGCGUUGAAAAGCUCGGGGAUGACUUGUGGGUAGCGGUGAAAUUCCAAUCGAGCCCGGAGAUAGCUGGUUCUCCCCGAAAUAGCUUUAGGGCUAGCCUCAAGGUGAGAGAUACGGAGGUAGAGCACUGAAUGUCCUAGGGG
rnacentral:rRNA from 1 species